ACGGAAGGCAGCAGUGGGGAAUAUUGCACAAUGGGCGAAAGCCUGAUGCAGCGACGCCGCGUGAGUGAAGAAGUAUCUCGGUAUGUAAAGCUCUAUCAGCAGGGAAGAAAAUGACGGUACCUGACUAAGAAGCCCCGGCUAACUACGUGCCAGCAGCCGCGGUGAUACGUAGGGGGCAAGCGUUAUCCGGAUUUACUGGGUGUAAAGGGAGCGUAGACGGUUUGGCAAGUCUGAAGUGAAAUGCGGGGGCUCAACUCCUGAACUGCUUUGGAAACUGUCGAACUAGAGUGCAGGAGAGGUAAGUGGAAUUCCUAGUGUAGCGGUGAAAUGCGUAGAUAUUAGGAGGAACACCAGUGGCGAAGGCGGCUUACUGGACUGUAACUGACGUUGAGGCUCGAAAGCGUGGGGAGCAAACAGGAUUAGAUACCCUGGUA
rnacentral:rRNA from 1 species